rnacentral:rRNA from 1 species
UGACUGCGUACCUUUUGUAUAAUGGGUCAGCGACUUAUAUUCAGUGGCAAGGUUAACCAUCUAGGGGAGCCGUAGGGAAACCGAGUCUUAACUGGGCGUUCAGUCUCUGGAUAUAGACCCGAAACCAGGUGAUCUAGCCAUGGGCAGGUUGAAGGUUGAGUAACAUCAACUGGAGGACCGAACCGACUAAUGUUGAAAAAUUAGCGGAUGACUUGUGGCUAGGGGUGAAAGGCCAAUCAAACCUGGAGAUAGCUGGUUCUCCCCGAAAGCUAUUUAGGUAGCGCCUCGGACGAAUACUACUGGGGGUAGAGCACUGUUAAGGCUAGGGGGUCAUCCCGACUUACCAACCCUUUGCAAACUCCGAAUACCAGUAAGUACUAUCCGGGAGACACACGGCGGGUGCUAACGUCCGUCGUGGAGAGGGAAACAACCCAGACCGCCAGCUAAGGUCCCAAAUUACUACUAAGUGGGAAACGAUGUGGGAAGGCUCAGACAGCCAGGAUGUUGGCUUAGAAGCAGCCAUCAUUUAAAGAAAGCGUAAUAGCUCACUGGUCGAGUCGGCCUGCGCGGAAGAUGUAACGGGGCUAAGUAGU